rfam:Nomascus leucogenys chromosome 20, whole genome shotgun sequence.
GCCAGGCAUGAUGGCAUGCGCCUGUAAUCCCAGCUACUUGGGAGGCUGAGACAGGAGAAUCACUGGAACCCGGGAGGCCUAGGUUGCAGUGAGCUGAGAUCAUGCCACUGCACUCCAGCCUGGGGGACAGAGUGAGACUCUGUCUCAA